rnacentral:rRNA from 1 species
UACGUAGGGUGCAAGCGUUGUCCGGAAUUAUUGGGCGUAAAGAGCUCGUAGGCGGUUUGUCGCGUCUGCUGUGAAAUCCGAGGCUCAACCUCGGGCCUGCAGUGGGUACGGGCAGACUAGAGUGUGGUAGGGGAGACUGGAAUUCCUGGUGUAGCGGUGGAAUGCGCAGAUAUCAGGAGGAACACCGAUGGCGAAGGCAGGUCUC